GACGAACGCUGGCGGCGUGCUUAACACAUGCAAGUCGAACGGAAAGGCCCUGCUUUUGUGGGGUGCUCGAGUGGCGAACGGGUGAGUAACACGUGAGUAACCUGCCCUUGACUUUGUGAUAACUUCAGGAAACUGGGGCUCAUACCGGAUAGGAGCUCCUGCUGCAUGGUGGGGGUUGGAAAGUUUCGGCGGUUGGGGAUGGACUCGCGGCUUAUCAGCUUGUUGGUGGGGUAGUGGCUUACCAAGGCUUUGACGGGUAGCCGGCCUGAGAGGGUGACCGGCCACAUUGGGACUGAGAUACGGCCCAGACUCCUACGGGAGGCAGCAGGGGGGAAUAUUGCACAAUGGGCGGAAGCCUGAUGCAGCAACGCCGCGUGCGGGAUGACGGCCUUCGGGUUGUAAACCGCUUUCGCCUGUGACGAAGCGUGAGUGACGGUAAUGGGUAAAGAAGCACCGGCUAACUACGUG
rnacentral:rRNA from 1 species